GAAGGCAGAGGCUGCCACAUCCUACUUAUGUCUUUAAAGGACAGGGCAGACGUGAACACCUCCAGCCUGUCCCACCAGAGCCCUGAUGCAGAAGGGAGACCCAAGCCAGCCCAUACAGGCACAGUCAACACAAAGAGAGCCAAGGUGGAAGUUGGUGCAGAGCUCAGCUGGCAGGCAGAGGAGAGCCAGCCAUAGAACUCUCACCUCCUUCUCCAGUACCAUGUCUUCCGGUAUGCCACCAUGCCUCCUGCCAUGAUGAUAAUGGACUAAACCUCUGAACUCAGGUUCAAAAGUUUUGAGGGGAUCAUGAGCCACUUGGGAGGCUGAGCAGGAGAGCACUGAACCCUGCAGGUGGAGGAUGGGUCCUACUUCUGAGAUUCCUACAGAACAGCAAAGACUGCCAGUCCUGUCCUGUCACCAAAGCAGAGACAGAAGCCCACAAGGAUGCACGUGUGUGUAACCACAACUCCACUUCUCCCAUGCAUGGACACCUAGGCCAUCUGUCCUAUAAUAAGCCCUCAGUAGGGGCUGGAGAGAUGGCUCAGGGGUUAAGAGCACUGACUGCUCUCCAAGAGGUCCUGAGUUCAAUUCCCAGCAACCACAUGGUGGCUCACAACCAUCUGUAAUGGGCAUCCCAUGCCCUCUUCUGCUGUGUCUGAAGAUAGCAACAGUGUACCCACAUCCAUGAAACAAAUAAAUAAAUCUUUAAA
ensembl:lncRNA